GUUUAAUUAAGAUAAUAUUGCUGAAGCAAUAUAUCAUAUUAUUGUCAACGACGAUUACUUUUCCGUACAAAACAUAUUUGUGGAAUUGGAUAUGGCACAAAUGCUUACGCCUAAAUUACAACAGACAUGCCAAUUUUAAUGACGUUCUACGUUUUGCUCUAUGAUGAUUAUUGUGUAACAGUACCAAUAACUUGGAUUGACUUUGAACAGUGUUCUUUUAAAAUGCCUGCGACAAAAAAUCUUACUCAAGCUUGUCGCAAGCAAUUAUCACCACAUAAUGAUUGGAACGAGUUUAAGUUUCAUAAACAUUUUGGUCCGUAUGAUACUUACUCAAAUGCACGGUCAGUUGAACAAGCAGUAGCCCAAAUGUCUACGUCAGAUGAUACAAUAUUGUCCUAUAGGAAGAAAAAGAGAAUAUUCCGAAAAAAAGGUUUAUUAAAGCACGUAAAUUUUAUGGCGACACAUCGAAUGAAGAUGAACCAAAAAAGAAAAAAGUUCUAAAAUUCCCUUCGAACUACAUUGCAGACAGUCAAAAUGUAUCUCACUUAUCAAGCCAGCCGAUUAAUACAUCAUCGAAAAUUACUAAGCUAGCAUGCGGAUCUAUUACAGCAAUCAACGAGGCUUUUACCAACGUGGCAACCAAAAAUGUAAACAAUAUUUUAGAAACCGGAGAAAGUGAUGCGAUAUUAAAAAAUAAUAAUUUUAUAGAUGAAAAUACGUUACAUUCAUACGAAGAUGAGUCGUCAUGUAGUGACACAGAAAUGCACAAAAUGACCGAGAAGCAAGAAAAUCUAAAAGUUGUACAAGGGAAUGUAACAGUUGAACCAACAAUUGUUUCACAAAUAACUAUUCCUCCUUCCACGAGCACUGUAACACACGAUUCAAUAACAUUGGAGCACACAUUUUGUUGUGAAAAAUGCCGCAAAAAUUACUCGCUCAAAUAUGAGAAAAUUCAACGGAAAAUUCAACUCAACCAUAUCAUUCAAUUACUAGAAAAUGAAAAUAAUCAACAAAAUGAAAUAGACGAAGACGAUGUAUCGUUGUUACCCAAUUUUCCCCUCACUACAGUGGUACAAAUAGAAAUGUUCAAUAACAGAUUGGAUGAUAUUAAUGUUCGGCAACAAUUUAUGAAAAAAAUGGCGCAUUUUAGUGGAAAUACUGUACCAAAAUUUGUGAAUAACUUAAUGUCGGAAACUAUGGGCUAUGAAGUUGCACAAGCUUACACGUGGACAGGCCAAAAGAAGAGGUUAUCAUUAAAAAAAUCGAAACUGUCUGACACAAUAAUUGCAAUUGUUUUGAAGAAAAAGAAUACCACAAUCACUGAAGUAGAAGCAUGUAUACAAGAAUGGUUGCGACGAUCUGGCGAUAGGAAGAGAAGAUUGUUAAACAAGUAA